UUCCUAUUUUAGGCUCCCAGCAUGUUCCGGGGAUUGACCCCUUAGCUGUCAGUUGGCUUCGAGUACACAUCACUAGGUCCCACACAGCAGGUGGGCUUCCUUACUACAGGGAUGCACUUGACCAUCAGACGGACGAGCAGAUGACUUGGCAGCCAUAUACUGAUGCGAGACUGGCGUUGUUACCUGCUAUAUGUCGAGCUGAUCGACAUGUAUGGCGCAC